GACGAACGCUGGCGGCGUGCUUAACACAUGCAAGUCGAACGGAAAGGCCCUUCGGGGUCCCCGAGUGGCGAACGGGUGAGUAACACGUGGGUGAUCUGCCCUGCACUUUGGGAUAAGCCUGGGAAACUGGGUCUAAUACCGAAUAGGACCACGCGCUUCAUGGUGUGUGGUGGAAAGCUUUUGCGGUGUGGGAUGGGCCCGCGGCCUAUCAGCUUGUUGGUGGGGUAAUGGCCUACCAAGGCGACGACGGGUAGCCGGCCUGAGAGGGUGACCGGCCACACUGGGACUGAGAUACGGCCCAGACUCCUACGGGAGGCAGCAGUGGGGAAUAUUGCACAAUGGGCGCAAGCCUGAUGCAGCGACGCCGCGUGAGGGAUGACGGCCUUCGGGUUGUAAACCUCUUUCAAUAGGGACGAAGCGCAAGUGACGGUACCUAUAGAAGAAGCACCGGCCAACUACGUG
rnacentral:rRNA from 1 species